CCUACGGGAGGCAGCAGUGAGGAAUAUUGGUCAAUGGCCGGAAGGCUGAACCAGCCAUGCCGCGUGAAGGUCAGUGCCCUAUGGGCGUUAAACUUCUUUUGUGCGGGAGCAAUAAUGGUCACGUGUGGCCAGACGAGAGUACCGUACGAAUAAGCAUCGGCUAACUCCGUGCCAGCAGCCGCGGUAAUACGGGGGAUGCAAGCGCUAUCCGGAUUUAUUGGGUUUAAAGGGUGCGUAGGCUGUGAGGUAAGUCAGCGGUGAAAUGCCCCCGCUCAACGGGGUGAAGUGCCAUUGAUACUGCCUGGCUGGAGUGCGGAUGCCGUGGGAGGAAUGUGUGGUGUAGCGGUGAAAUGCAUAGAUAUCACACAGAACACCGAUUGCGAAGGCAUCUCACGAAUCCGCGAUUGACGCUGAUGCACGAAAGCGUGGGUAUCAAACAGGAUUAGAUACCCUGGUAGUC
rnacentral:rRNA from 1 species